GCGGGUGGUUGAGUAGAACCGGUCGCCAUGUCCGCGGGGAGCGCGACACAUCCUGGAGCUGGCGGGCGCCGCAGCAAAUGGGACCAACCAGCUCCAGCCCCACUUCUCUUCCUCCCGCCAGCGGCCCCAGGUGGGGAGGUCACCAGCAGUGGGGGAAGUCCUGGGGGCACCACAGCUGCUCCUUCAGGAGCCUUGGAUGCUGCUGCUGCUGUGGCUGCCAAGAUCAAUGCCAUGCUCAUGGCAAAAGGGAAGCUGAAACCAACUCAGAGUGCUUCUGAGAAGGUAUUUGAAGUUGAAGAGUCUCCACUAAUUGUGAAUUUAAUAGUUGUUUUGCUGGGAUUACAGGUAUGAGCCACCAUGCGCAGCCUAUUGUUUGCAAAGAUUGUGUGAGUCAGUCAUCCAUUUCUAAGGUUUAUGAGGAAAAAUUAAAAGCAUCUUGACAAAGAUGUAAUGCUCCUUGUAUAUUAAGAUUCUUAAUACUGAUUGAAUCGUUUAAGCUCUUUUUUUUUCUUAAAAUAAUAAUCUUUAGGUAGUUGAUCUCAGCAGGAUACAUAAACACUGGAUUUAGAAUCAUAAAACCUGAAAACCCAGAAUCCACAGUUACUGGUUACAUGGCUUUGGCAUAAUGAAACUCAGCUUUCUCGUUGGUAAUAUAUACCUGCAUUGUGUAGUGCAGUAGUCACUAGUCUCAUGUGGCAAUUUAAAUUAAAAUUAAGGGGCUGGGUGUGGUAGCUCACACCUGUAGUCCCAG
rnacentral:sRNA from 1 species